UUGAACGCUGGCGGCAGGCCUAACACAUGCAAGUCGAACGGUAACAGGAAGAAGCUUGCUUCUUUGCUGACGAGUGGCGGACGGGUGAGUAAUGUCUGGGAAACUGCCUGAUGGAGGGGGAUAACUACUGGAAACGGUAGCUAAUACCGCAUAACGUCGCAAGACCAAAGAGGGGGACCUUCGGGCCUCUUGCCAUCGGAUGUGCCCAGAUGGGAUUAGCUUGUUGGUGGGGUAACGGCUCACCAAGGCGACGAUCCCUAGCUGGUCUGAGAGGAUGACCAGCCACACUGGAACUGAGACACGGUCCAGACUCCUACGGGAGGCAGCAGUGGGGAAUAUUGCACAAUGGGCGCAAGCCUGAUGCAGCCAUGCCGCGUGUAUGAAGAAGGCCUUCGGGUUGUAAAGUACUUUCAGCGGGGAGGAAGGGAGUAAAGUUAAUACCUUUACUCAUUGACGUUACCCGCAGAAGAAGCACCGGCUAACUCCGUGCCAGCAGCCGCGGCAAUACGGAGGGUGCAAGCGUUAAUCGGAAUUACUGGGCGUAAAGCGCACGCAGGCGGUUUGUUAAGUCAGAUGUGAAAUCCCCGGGCUCAACCUGGGAACUGCAUCUGAUACUGGCAAGCUUGAGUCUCGUAGAGGGGGGUAGAAUUCCAGGUGUAGCGGUGAAAUGCGUAGAGAUCUGGAGGAAUACCGGUGGCGAAGGCGGCCCCCUGGACGAAGACUGACGCUCAGGUGCGAAAGCGUGGGGAGCAAACAGGAUUAGAUACCCUGGUAGUCCACGCCGUAAACGAUGUCGACUUGGAGGUUGUGCCCUUGAGGCGUGGCUUCCGGAGCUAACGCGUUAAGUCGACCGCCUGGGGAGUACGGCCGCAAGGUUAAAACUCAAAUGAAUUGACGGGGGCCCGCACAAGCGGUGGAGCAUGUGGUUUAAUUCGAUGCAACGCGAAGAACCUUACCUGGUCUUGACAUCCACAGAACUUUCCAGAGAUGGAUUGGUGCCUUCGGGAACUGUGAGACAGGUGCUGCAUGGCUGUCGUCAGCUCGUGUUGUGAAAUGUUGGGUUAAGUCCCGCAACGAGCGCAACCCUUAUCCUUUGUUGCCAGCGGUCCGGCCGGGAACUCAAAGGAGACUGCCAGUGAUAAACUGGAGGAAGGUGGGGAUGACGUCAAGUCAUCAUGGCCCUUACGACCAGGGCUACACACGUGCUACAAUGGCGCAUACAAAGAGAAGCGACCUCGCGAGAGCAAGCGGACCUCAUAAAGUGCGUCGUAGUCCGGAUUGGAGUCUGCAACUCGACUCCAUGAAGUCGGAAUCGCUAGUAAUCGUGGAUCAGAAUGCCACGGUGAAUACGUUCCCGGGCCUUGUACACACCGCCCGUCACACCAUGGGAGUGGGUUGCAAAAGAAGUAGGUAGCUUAACCUUCGGGAGGGCGCUUACCACUUUGUGAUUCAUGACUGGGGUG
rnacentral:rRNA from 1 species